rnacentral:lncRNA from 1 species
AUGGCAAACUCCGUUGGUAAUGAUAAGACUGCUAAUAAGGUUGCCCUCUGCUCGGCCGUCUUUGCUGGGUUCGCAUAUGUAGGAUACUCGGUGGUGAGAACUGCAUUCUGUCGAAAAUUAGGUCAGCGCGAGGGUGAAGGCGGUUAUCGGCAAGAACAUCGAUUGUACUUCAGGAGAUUAUCUCAGACCACACAGACUGAUGUUUUGCUAGGGGACCUGGACCUCUCAGGAUCAAAGAAGAUUGCACUCAGACCAUUCACUGUUCAGGAAAGAAUCAGAGAAUGAAUUUAAGGGCAAAAAUGUUUACAGAUACAGUACUAGCAAUACAGACAAACCAGUCGCCUCAUAAGUCUCACAGCGUUCAUAGUGCCCGAAGUUUGACGGUAAGUCUGUCUGCAAAAUUCAUAUCUCUUUGAACAGAUGCACUAAAUUUUUCCUCAAUUUUGUGAGCUACAUACUAGUAGCAAAGAAAUCUAGAUAGAUA